UACGGAGGGUGCAAGCGUUAUCCGGAUUCACUGGGUUUAAAGGGUGCGUAGGUGGGUUGGUAAGUCAGUGGUGAAAUCCCCGAGCUUAACUUGGGAACUGCCAUUGAUACUAUCAGUCUUGAAUACCGUGGAGGUCAGCGGAAUAUGUCAUGUAGCGGUGAAAUGCUUAGAUAUGACAUAGAACACCAAUUGCGAAGGCAGCUCGCUACUCAAUUAUUGACUCUGAGGCACGAAAGCGUGGGGAUCAAACAGG
rnacentral:rRNA from 1 species